UACGUAGGGGGCUAGCGUUGUCCGGAAUCAUUGGGCGUAAAGCGCGUGUAGGCGGUCCGGUAAGUCCGCUGUGAAAGUCGGGGGCUCAACCCUCGAAUGCCGGUGGAUACUGUCGGGCUAGAGUGCGGAAGAGGCGAGUGGAAUUCCUGGUGUAGCGGUGAAAUGCGCAGAUAUCAGGAGGAACACCAAUUGCGAAGGCAGCUCGCUGGGACGUUACUGACGCCGAGACGCGAAAGCGUGGGGAGCAAACAGG
rnacentral:rRNA from 1 species